rnacentral:rRNA from 1 species
AAAUUGAAGAGUUUGAUCAUGGCUCAGAUUGAACGCUGGCGGCAGGCCUAACACAUGCAAGUCGAACGGUAACAGAAAGCAGCUUGCUGCUUUGCUGACGAGUGGCGGACGGGUGAGUAAUGUCUGGGAAACUGCCUGAUGGAGGGGGAUAACUACUGGAAACGGUAGCUAAUACCGCAUAACGUCGCAAGACCAAAGAGGGGGACCUUCGGGCCUCUUGCCAUCGGAUGUGCCCAGAUGGGAUUAGCUUGUUGGUGGGGUAACGGCUCACCAAGGCGACGAUCCCUAGCUGGUCUGAGAGGAUGACCAGCCACACUGGAACUGAGACACGGUCCAGACUCCUACGGGAGGCAGCAGUGGGGAAUAUUGCACAAUGGGCGCAAGCCUGAUGCAGCCAUGCCGCGUGUAUGAAGAAGGCCUUCGGGUUGUAAGUACUUUCAGCGGGGAGGAAGGGAGUAAAGUUAAUACCUUUGCUCAUUGACGUUACCCGCAGAAGAAGCACCGGCUAACUCCGUGCCAGCAGCCGCGGUAAUACGGAGGGUGCAAGCGUUAAUCGGAAUUACUGGGCGUAAAGCGCACGCAGGCGGUUUGUUAAGUCAGAUGUGAAAUCCCCGGGCUCAACCUGGGAACUGCAUCUGAUACUGGCAAGCUUGAGUCUCGUAGAGGGGGGUAGAAUUCCAGGUGUAGCGGUGAAAUGCGUAGAGAUCUGGAGGAAUACCGGUGGCGAAGGCGGCCCCCUGGACGAAGACUGACGCUCAGGUGCGAAAGCGUGGGGAGCAAACAGGAUUAGAUACCCUGGUAGUCCACGCCGUAAACGAUGUCGACUUGGAGGUUGUGCCCUUGAGGCGUGGCUUCCGGAGCUAACGCGUUAAGUCGACCGCCUGGGGAGUACGGCCGCAAGGUUAAAACUCAAAUGAAUUGACGGGGGCCCGCACAAGCGGUGGAGCAUGUGGUUUAAUUCGAUGCAACGCGAAGAACCUUACCUGGUCUUGACAUCCACAGAACUUUCCAGAGAUGGAUUGGUGCCUUCGGGAACUGUGAGACAGGUGCUGCAUGGCUGUCGUCAGCUCGUGUUGUGAAAUGUUGGGUUAAGUCCCGCAACGAGCGCAACCCUUAUCCUUUGUUGCCAGCGGUCCGGCCGGGAACUCAAAGGAGACUGCCAGUGAUAAACUGGAGGAAGGUGGGGAUGACGUCAAGUCAUCAUGGCCCUUACGACCAGGGCUACACACGUGCUACAAUGGCGCAUACAAAGAGAAGCGACCUCGCGAGAGCAAGCGGACCUCAUAAAGUGCGUCGUAGUCCGGAUUGGAGUCUGCAACUCGACUCCAUGAAGUCGGAAUCGCUAGUAAUCGUGGAUCAGAAUGCCACGGUGAAUACGUUCCCGGGCCUUGUACACACCGCCCGUCACACCAUGGGAGUGGGUUGCAAAAGAAGUAGGUAGCUUAACCUUCGGGAGGGCGCUUACCACUUUGUGAUUCAUGACUGGGGUGAAGUCGUAACAAGGUAACCGUAGGGGAACCUGCGGUUGGAUCACCUCCUUACCUUAAAGAAGC